rnacentral:rRNA from 1 species
AGUGAUCGCUGGCGGUAGGCCUAACACAUGCAAGUCGAACGGCAGCACAGUAAGAGCUUGCUCUUACGGGUGGCGAGUGGCGGACGGGUGAGGAAUACAUCGGAAUCUACUUUUUCGUGGGGGAUAACGUAGGGAAACUUACGCUAAUACCGCAUACGACAUACGGGUGAAAGCAGGGGAUCUUCGGACCUUGCGCGAUUGAAUGAGCCGAUGUCGGAUUAGCUAGUUGGCGGGGUAAAGGCCCACCAAGGCGACGAUCCGUAGCUGGUCUGAGAGGAUGAUCAGCCACACUGGAACUGAGACACGGUCCAGACUCCUACGGGAGGCAGCCGUGGGGAAUAUUGGCCAAUGGGCGCAAGCCUGAUCCAGCCAUACCGCGUGGGUGAAGAAGGCCUUCGGGUUGUAAAGCCCUUUUGUUGGGAAAGAAAAGCAGCAGGUUAAUACCCCGCUGUUCUGACGGUACCCAAAGGAUAAGCACCGGCUAACUUCGUG